rnacentral:lncRNA from 1 species
CCCAAUCAACAAAACUGACUGUUCAUCGCCUUGUCACUUCAUCUGCCUUUCUUCUUCAAGACGCUUCCAUACUCCCGAGGCAUUAAUCAUCAACGUUCUUUGUCCAGCCCUCUUCUCGAUUAACCCCAUCCCAUCUUCUCCUUUCCUGAUCAAUCCUAAUCUCCCACUCUAUCCCUUUCCUCUUGAUCUUCUGCAUAUUCCGGAACUCCCCUAACAAGGUACACUG